rnacentral:rRNA from 1 species
GGAUGAAGUAUAACAUACGGGGCUUAAUGUACUUGUAAUUGGAAAUGAUGGCCAAUUUAAACCUCUUCCAGAGUAUCAAUUGGAGGGCAAGUCUGGUGCCAGCAGCCGCGGUAAUUCCAGCUCCAAUAGCGUAUAUUAAAAUUGUUGCAGUUAAAAAGCUCGUAGUUGAAUUUCUGCUGCAUUGCUUUUGCUCCUUUACGAGUCUUUGCAUUGUGGCUUAUUUCGGACUUUGUUUUACAAUGUCCGGAUGUUUACUUUGAGAAAAUUAGAGUGCUCAAAGCAGGCUUUCGCCUUGAAUAGUUUAACAAGGAAUAAUAAAGUAGGACUUUGGUUCUAUUUUGUUGGUUUUAGGUACCAAAGUAAUGGUUAAUAGGAACAGUUGGGGGCAUUCGUAUUUAAA